UACGUAGGGUGCGAGCGUUAAUCGGAAUUACUGGGCGUAAAGCGUGCGCAGGCGGCGCGUUAAGACAGGUGUGAAAGCCCCGAGCUUAACUUGGGAAUUGCGCUUGUGACUGGCGAGCUGGAGUGUGGCAGAGGGAGGUGGAAUUCCACGUGUAGCAGUGAAAUGCGUAGAGAUGUGGAGGAACACCGAUGGCGAAGGCAGCCCCCUGGGCUAACACUGACGCUCAGGCACGAAAGCGUGGGGAGCAAACAGG
rnacentral:rRNA from 1 species